rnacentral:misc_RNA from 1 species
GUGAAUCAUCGAAUUUUUGAACGCAAAUUGCACUCUCCUCGGAGAGUAUGCCUGUUUGAGGGUCAGCCUAUAAAAAUCGUCAUCGUUGUAGUUUCGCGGUGGCGUGCGGCGGUAAAUGGGUAAUCUUAAAUCCUUUUGAUUUAAGCGACUUAAAAUUUUCUUUUGGUUCCAUGAACGUUUCUAAGAACUAUUUCUUUACACGUUUACGGUAUCGAUUUAUACUAGACUUGAC